rnacentral:rRNA from 1 species
GUAGGGAAUAUUGGGCAAUGGCCGAGAGGCUGACCCAGCCAUGCCGCGUGCAGGAUGAAGGCUUUCUGAGUCGUAAACUGCUUUUGCCAGGGAAGAAAAAAGCGGAUGCGUCCGCUACUGACGGUACCUGGUGAAUAAGCACCGGCUAACUCCGUGCCAGCAGCCGCGGUAAUACGGAGGGUGCAAGCGUUGUCCGGAUUUAUUGGGUUUAAAGGGUGCGUAGGCGGCCGAUUAAGUCUGGGGUGAAAGCCCGUUGCUCAACAACGGAACUGCCCUGGAAACUGGUCGGCUUGAGUACAGACGAGGGUGGCGGAAUGGAUGCUGUAGCGGUGAAAUGCAUAGAUAGCAUCCAGAACCCCGAUUGCGAAGGCAGCUGCCUAGACUGUAACUGACGCUGAGGCACGAAAGCGUGGGGAGCGAACAGG